rnacentral:rRNA from 1 species
GAUCAACGCUGGCGGCGUGCCUCAGACAUGCAAGUCGAACGCGAAAGUUCCCUUCGGGGGAUAAGUAGAGUGGCGUCCGGGUGAGUAACACGUAGGUAAUCUACCUUUGGGUGGGGAAUAACAACCGGAAACGGUUGCUAAUACCGCAUAAUGCAGCGGCACCACAUGGUGACAGUUGUUAAAGCGGGGGAUCGCAAGACCUCGCGCCUAAAGAGGAGCCUGCGGCGGAUUAGCUAGUUGGAGGGUAACGGCCUACCAAGCAACGAUCCGUAGCCGGCCUGAGAGGGCGGUCGGCCACACUGACACUGAAUAACGGGUCAGACUCCUACGGGAGGGCAGCAGUCGGGAAUUUUGGGUCAAUGGGCGAAAGCCUGACUCAGCAACGCCG